AGUGAACGCUGGCGGUAGGCCUAACACAUGCAAGUCGAACGGCAGCACAGUAAGAGCUUGCUCUUACGGGUGGCGAGUGGCGGACGGGUGAGGAAUACAUCGGAAUCUACUUUUUCGUGGGGGAUAACGUAGGGAAACUUACGCUAAUACCGCAUACGACCUACGGGUGAAAGCAGGGGAUCUUCGGACCUUGCGCGAUUGAAUGAGCCGAUGUCGGAUUAGCUAGUUGGCGGGGUAAAGGCCCACCAAGGCGACGAUCCGUAGCUGGUCUGAGAGGAUGAUCAGCCACACUGGAACUGAGACACGGUCCAGACUCCUACGGGAGGCAGCAGUGGGGAAUAUUGGACAAUGGGCGCAAGCCUGAUCCAGCCAUACCGCGUGGGUGAAGAAGGCCUUCGGGUGUAAAGCCCUUUUGUUGGGAAAGAAAAGCAGCAGGUUAAUACCCCGCUGUUCUGACGGUACCCAAAGAAUAAGCACCGGCUAACUUCGUG
rnacentral:rRNA from 1 species